rnacentral:rRNA from 1 species
GACGAAGGGGGCGAGCGUUGUUCGGAAUUACUGGGCGUAAAGGGCGCGUAGGCGGCGACCCAAGUCAGAUGUGAAAGUCCUGGGCUUAACCUGGGGACUGCAUUUGAUACUGGGUUGCUUGAAUUCGGGAGAGGAUAGCGGAAUUCCCAGUGUAGAGGUGAAAUUCGUAGAUAUUGGGAAGAACACCGGUGGCGAAGGCGGCUAUCUGGACCGACAUUGACGCUGAGGCGCGAAAGCGUGGGGAGCGAACAGGGA